AAGUUUGUGACAUCACUCUGAAAUGAGAGCAAGUCAUAAAAGCUAAUGACAAGUACAACAACAUAUUGAGGAAUCUGUGGAGUGCAGAAGAAUUUUGCAAUGAUCUCAAGAGAGAGUUCCUGGCAAUAACAAAUAACAUUUAUGUUUUCACAAGCUACAAUUUGGUCUUCCUUUGAGAAGGGAAGGUGAACGGCCUGCAGGAAUGUUUUUCAACUCUCCAGGUUUUCAGGAGAAAUAAAGUCCUCUUUUAAACAAUGGAAUGAAGAGGUCCAACAAGCCUCCGAAUUGACAUUACCAGAAGGAAUGGAAGUUGCAACUUAUCAUGAUAUAUUCUUAAUUGUGCAAUGGAUAUGCAAUGAUUUGGGAAGUCAGAAUUUUAGCCAAGAAGAGUCUGGGAGGUAUUCCUGA
rnacentral:lncRNA from 1 species